AGCCUGAGUCGCCUCCGAAUGACUCACGACUCAGAACGCCGUGCCAGGCUGCGCUGCAGUUCCACUCCGAAAAACAAAAUGCUGUCAAAGGCUCCUGCAGUGUACUCUGAUGUAUUCAACACCGCGGUGGAUGAGUUUAAGAGUCGCAGCAGAUGGCCCCGCCCCUCC